rnacentral:misc_RNA from 1 species
CCAAUAGCGUAUAUUAAAGUUGUUGCAGUUAAAAAGCUCGUAGUUGAAUUUCGGGAUUGACGUGAUGGUCAUGCCUUAAGGGGUAUGAACUGUUACUGUUGAUUUCUCACCUUCUGGAGAAACUUGAUGUCCUUUAUUGGGUGUCUUGCGGAUCCAGGACCUUUACCUUGAAAAAAUUAGAGUGUUUAAAGCAGGCAUUUUUGCUCGAAUACAUUAGCAUGGAAUAAUAGAAUAGGACGGCAUGGUUCUAUUUUGUUGGUUUCUAGGAUCACCGUAAUGAUUAAUAGGGAUAGUUGGGGGCAUUAGUAUUCAAUUGGCAGAGGUGAAAUUCUUGGAUUUAUUGAAGACUAACUACUGCGAAAGCAUUUGCCAAGGAUGUUUUCAUUAAUCAAGAACGAAAGUUAGGGGAUCGAAGACGAUCAGAUACCGUCGUAGUCUUAACCAUAAACUAUGCCGACUAGGAAUCAGACGAUGUUAAUUUUUUAAUGACUCGUUUGGCACCUUACG